GAUGAAGAACGUAGCGAAAUGCGAUACGUAAUGUGAAUUGCAGAAUUCAGUGAAUCAUCGAAUCUUUGAACGCAUAUUGCGCUCUCUGGUAUUCCGGAGAGCAUGCUUGUUUGAGUAUCAGUAAACACCUCAACUUCCAUAUCUUUUUUGAAAUGGGAGUUGGACUUGAGUGAUCCCAACGCUUUUCCUCACCGAAAAGUGGCGGGUUACUUGAAAUGCAGGUGCAGCUGGACUUUUCUCUGAGCUAUAAGCAUAUCUAUUUAGUCUGCCUAAAAAACAGAUUAUUACCUUUGCUGCAGCUAACAUAAAGGAGAUUAGUUCUUGUGCUGACUGAUGCAGGAUUCACAAUGACAGGCUUCGGCCGACUUUGUAAACUCGAUCUCAAAUCAAGUAAGACUACCCGCUGAACUUAAGCAUAUCAAUAAGCGGAGGA
rnacentral:misc_RNA from 1 species